rnacentral:rRNA from 1 species
UACGUAGGGUGCAAGCGUUAAUCGGAAUUACUGGGCGUAAAGCGUGCGCAGGCGGUUUUGUAAGUUUGUUGUGAAAGCCCCGGGCUCAACCUGGGAACUGCAUUUGAAACUACGGGGCUAGAGUGUGUCAGAGGGGGGUGGAAUUCCACGUGUAGCAGUGAAAUGCGUAGAGAUGUGGAGGAACACCAAUGGCGAAGGCAGCCCCCUGGGAUGACACUGACGCUCAUGCACGAAAGCGUGGGGAGCAAACAGG